ACUCAAAUGAAUAGACGGGGGCCCGCACAAGCGGUGGAGUAUGUGGUUUAAUUCGAUGCAACGCGAAGAACCUUACCAGGGCUUGACAUCCUGGGAACUUCCCUGAAAGGGGAGGGUGCCCGCAAGGGAGCCCGGAGACAGGUGGUGCAUGGCUGUCGUCAGCUCGUGUCGUGAGAUGUUGGAUUAAGUUCCGCAACGAGCGCAACCCUCGUCGUAUGUUGCCAGCACGUAAUGGUGGGCACUCAUGCGAGACUGCUGCAGCAAUGUGGAGGAAGGUGGGGAUGACGUCAAGUCAGCAUGCCCCGUACGCCCUGGGCUACACACAUACUACAAUGCCAGAAGCAAACCGUUGCCAACCCGUGAGGGGGAGCUAAUCGGAAAAGAUCUGGCUCAGUGCGGAUUGUAGGCUGCAACUCGCCUACAUGAAGUCGGAAUCGCUAGUAACCGUCGGUCAGCAUUACGACGGUGAAUACGUUCCCGGGCCUUGUACACACCGCCCGU
rnacentral:rRNA from 1 species